UUUGAAAUAUUGGCCUAGUUCUCAUGGCUUAAAUAAACUGGUUAUUAAAGCCAAAAUGCAUGCUAAUACAUAUAUUGUUUUGAAAAUUUUCUUUGUUGUGUAAAAAAAAUAUGAUGUUAUGAUAUUUAUAUCUAUAUAUAUUGGAGAGACUAAGCCGUAUUUUAAAACAAAAACAAUUUUUGAAAAUAUUAUUAUUAAUU
rnacentral:lncRNA from 1 species